GACUGCGCCCGGAGAAGUCCUGGAAAAGCGUCACCGGACCAGGGUUCGAUUCCCUGCAGCUCCACCA
rnacentral:tRNA from 1 species